GAUGAACGCUGGCGGCGUGCCUAAUACAUGCAAGUCGAGCGAACAGACGAGGAGCUUGCUCCUCUGACGUUAGCGGCGGACGGGUGAGUAACACGUGGAUAGCCUACCUAUAAGACUGGGAUAACUUCGGGAAACCGGAGCUAAUACCGGAUAACAUGUUGAACCGCAUGGUUCAACAGUGAAAGACGGUUUUGCUGUCACUUAUAGAUGGAUCCGCGCCGCAUUAGCUAGUUGGUAAGGUAACGGCUUACCAAGGCAACGAUGCGUAGCCGACCUGAGAGGGUGAUCGGCCACACUGGAACUGAGACACGGUCCAGACUCCUACGGGAGGCAGCAGUAGGGAAUCUUCCGCAAUGGGCGAAAGCCUGACGGAGCAACGCCGCGUGAGUGAAGAAGGUCUUCGGAUCGUAAAACUCUGUUAUUAGGGAAGAACAAAUGUGUAAGUAACUAUGCACGUCUUGACGGUACCUAAUCAGAAAGCCACGGCUAACUACGUG
rnacentral:rRNA from 1 species